rnacentral:rRNA from 1 species
UCUCGGGGUUACAGCCUUGCUGAAUUAUUCACCCUUGUCUUUUGCGUACUUCUUGUUUCCUUGGUGGGUUCGCCCACCACUAGGACAAACAUAAACCUUUUGUAAUUGCAAUCAGCGUCAGUAACAAAUUAAUAAUUACAACUUUCAACAACGGAUCUCUUGGUUCUGGCAUCGAUGAAGAACGCAGCGAAAUGCGAUAAGUAGUGUGAAUUGCAGAAUUCAGUGAAUCAUCGAAUCUUUGAACGCACAUUGCGCCCUUUGGUAUUCCAAAGGGCAUGCCUGUUCGAGCGUCAUUUGUACCCUCAAGCUUUGCUUGGUGUUGGGCGUCUUGUCUCUAGCUUUGCUGGAGACUCGCCUUAAAGUAAUUGGCAGCCGGCCUACUGGUUUCGGAGCGCAGCACAAGUCGCACUCUCUAUCAGCAAAGGUCUAGCAUCCAUUAAGCCUUUUUUUCAACUUUUGACCUCGGAUCAGGUAGGGAUACCCGCUGAACUUAAGCAUAUCAAUA